rnacentral:rRNA from 1 species
AGUGAACGCUGGCGGCAGGCCUAACACAUGCAAGUCGAACGGCAGCACAAGAGAGCUUGCUCUCUGGGUGGCGAGUGGCGGACGGGUGAGGAAUGCAUCGGAAUCUGCCCAUUUGUGGGGGAUAACCUCGGGAAACCGGGACUAAUACCGCAUACGACCUACGGGUGAAAGCAGGGGAUCUUCGGACCUUGCGCAGAUGGAUGAGCCGAUGCCGGAUUAGCUAGUUGGAGGGGUAAAGGCCCACCAAGGCGACGAGCCGUAGCUGGUCUGAGAGGAUGAUCAGCCACACUGGGACUGAGACACGGCCCAGACUCCUACGGGAGGCAGCAGUGGGGAAUAUUGGACAAUGGGCGCAAGCCUGAUCCAGCCAUGCCGCGUGUGUGAAGAAGGCCUUCGGGUUGUAAAGCACUUUUGUUGGGAAAGAAAAGCAGCCGGUUAAUACCCGGUUGUCAUGACGGUACCCAAAGAAUAAGCACCGGCUAACUUCGUG